rnacentral:rRNA from 1 species
GAUGAACGCUGGCGGCGUGCUUAACACAUGCAAGUCGAACGGGAAUUACUUUAUUGAAACUUCGGUCGAUUUAAUUUAAUUCUAGUGGCGGACGGGUGAGUAACGCGUGGGUAACCUGCCUUGUACAGGGGGAUAACAGUCAGAAAUGACUGCUAAUACCGCAUAAGCGCACAGGACCGCAUGGUCCGGUGUGAAAAACUCCGGUGGUAUAAGAUGGACCCGCGUUGGAUUAGCUUGUUGGUGGGGUAACGGCCCACCAAGGCGACGAUCCAUAGCCGGCCUGAGAGGGUGAACGGCCACAUUGGGACUGAGACACGGCCCAGACUCCUACGGGAGGCAGCAGUGGGGAAUAUUGCACAAUGGGGGAAACCCUGAUGCAGCGACGCCGCGUGAAGGAAGAAGUAUCUCGGUAUGUAAACUUCUAUCAGCAGGGAAGAAAAUGACGGUACCUGACUAAGAAGCCCCGGCUAACUACGUGCCAGCAGCCGCGGUAAUACGUAGGGGGCAAGCGUUAUCCGGAUUUACUGGGUGUAAAGGGAGCGUAGACGGAUGGACAAGUCUGAUGUGAAAGGCUGGGGCUCAACCCCGGGACUGCAUUGGAAACUGCCCGUCUUGAGUGCCGGAGAGGUAAGCGGAAUUCCUAGUGUAGCGGUGAAAUGCGUAGAUAUUAGGAGGAACACCAGUGGCGAAGGCGGCUUACUG